UAAUGAGUAUUAAUUCAGGUUACACUGUUGGUCAAUAAACCGUUCUGUCACGUUAUUAAUGAGUAUUAAUUCAGGUUACACUGUUGGUCAAUAAACCGUUCUGUCACGUUAUUAAUGAGUAUUAAUUCAGGUUACACUGUCAUCAAUAAACCGUUCUGUCACGUUAUUAAUGAGUAUUAAUUCAGGUUACACUGUCAUCAAUAAACCGUUCUGUCACGUUAUUAAUGAGUAUUAAUUCAGGUUACACUGUCAUCAAUAAACCGUUCUGUCACGUUAUUAAUGAGUAUUAAUUCAGGUUACACUGUCAUCAAUAAACCGUUCUGUCAAGUUAUUUAUGAGAAUUAAUUCAGGUUACACUGUCAUCAAUAAACCGUUCUGUCACGUUAUUAAUGAGUAUUAAUUCAGGUUACACUGUCAUCAAUAAACCGUUCUGUCACGUUAUUAAUGAGUAUUAAUUCAGGUUACACUGUUGGUCAAUAAACCGUUCUGUCACGUUAUUAAUGAGUAUUAAUUCAGGUUACACUGUUGGUCAAUAAACCGUUCUGUCACGUUAUUAAUGAGUAUUAAUUCCGGUUACACUGUCAUCAAUAAACCGUUCUGUCACGUUAUUAAUGAGUAAUUCAGGUUACACUGUUGGUCAAUAAACCGUUCUGUCACGUUAUUAAUGAGUAUUAAUUCAGGUUACACUGUCAUCAAUAAACCGUUCUGUCACGUUAUUAAUGAGUAAUUCAGGUUACACUGUUGGUCAAUAAACCGUUCUGUCACGUUAUUAAUGAGUAUUAAUUCAGGUUACACUGUCAUCAAUAAACCGUUCUGUCACGUUAUUAAUGAGUAUUAAUUCAGGUUACACUGUUGGUCAAUAAACCGUUCUGUCACGUUAUUAAUGAGUAUUAAUUCAGGUUACACUGUCAUCAAUAAACCGUUCUGUCACGUUAUUAAUGAGUAUUAAUUCAGGUUACACUGUUGGUCAAUAAACCGUUCUGUCACGUUAUUAAUGAGUAUUAAUUCAGGUUACACUGUUGGUCAAUAAACCGUUCUGUCACGUUAUUAAUGAGUAAUUCAGGUUACACUGUCAUCAAUAAACCAUUCUGUCACGUUAUUAAUGAGUAAUUCAGGUUACACUGUUGGUCAAUAAACCGUUCUGUCACGUUAUUAAUGAGUAUUAAUUCAGGUUACACUGUCAUCAAUAAACCGUUCUGUCACGUUAUUAAUGAGUAUUAAUUCAGGUUACACUGUUGGUCAAUAAACCGUUCUGUCACGUUAUUAAUGAGUAUUAAUUCAGGUUACACUGUUGGUCAAUAAACCGUUCUGUCACGUUAUUAAUGAGUAAUUCAGGUUACACUGUCAUCAAUAAACCAUUCUGUCACGUUAUUAAUGAGUAAUUCAGGUUACACUGUUGGUCAAUAAACCGUUCUGUCACGUUAUUAAUGAGUAUUAAUUCAGGUUACACUGUUGGUCAAUAAACCGUUCUGUCACGUUAUUAAUGAGUAUUAAUUCAGGUUACACUGUCAUCAAUAAACCGUUCUGUCACGUUAUUAAUGAGUAUUAAUUCAGGUUACACUGUCAUCAAUAAACCGUUCUGUCACGUUAUUAAUGAGUAUUAAUUCAGGUUACACUGUCAUCAAUAAACCGUUCUGUCACGUUAUUAAUGAGUAUUAAUUCAGGUUACACUGUCAUCAAUAAACCGUUCUGUCACGUUAUUAAUGAGUAUUAAUUCAGGUUACACUGUCAUCAAUAAACUGUUCUGUCACGUUAUUAAUGAGUAAUUCAGGUUACACUGUCAUCAAUAAACCGUUCUGUCACGUUAUUACUGAGUAAUUCAGGUUACACUGUCAUCAAUAAACCGUUCUGUCACGUUAUUAAUGAGUAUUAAUUCAGGUUACACUGUUGGUCAAUAAACCGUUCUGUCACGUUAUUAAUGAGUAUUAAUUCAGGUUACACUGUCAUCAAUAAACCGUUCUGUCACGUUAUUAAUGAGUAUUAAUUCAGGUUACACUGUCAUCAAUAAACCGUUCUGUCACGUUAUUAAUGAGUAUUAAUUCAGGUUACACUGUCAUCAAUAAACCGUUCUGUCACGUUAUUAAUGAGUAUUAAUUCAGGUUACACUGUUGGUCAAUAAACCGUUCUGUCACGUUAUUAAUGAGUAUUAAUUCAGGUUACACUGUUGGUCAAUAAACCGUUCUGUCACGUUAUUAAUGAGUAUUAAUUCAGGUUACACUGUCAUCAAUAAACCCGUUCUGUCACGUUAUUAAUGAGUAUUAAUUCAGGUUACACUGUCAUCAAUAAACCGUUCUGUCACGUUAUUAAUGAGUAUUAAUUCAGGUUACACUGUCAUCAAUAAACCGUUCUGUCACGUUAUUAAUGAGUAUUAAUUCAGGUUACACUGUUGGUCAAUAAACCGUUCUGUCACGUUAUUAAUGAGUAUUAAUUCAGGUUACACUGUUGGUCAAUAAACCGUUCUGUCACGUUAUUAAUGAGUAUUAAUUCAGGUUACACUGUUGGUCAAUAAACCGUUCUGUCACGUUA